rnacentral:tRNA from 1 species
GGGCGCAUAGCUCAGCGGGAGAGCAUCGGCCUUACAAGCCGGUGGUCACAGGUUCGAAUCCUGUUGCGCCCACCC